UCGAACGAGAAUCUGGAGGUUCAAGUUUCGGACAAGAACUUUCGGAGGAAAGUGGCGGAAGGGUGAGUACAACAUGGAUAAUCUACCUUCAAGUUGGGUAUAGCUUCCCGAAAAGGGGAGAUAAUCCCGAAUGUGGUGAUCCCGGCGCCUGUCGGAGAAUCCAAAGUGGGGACCGCAAGGCCUGCCGCUUGAAGAUGAGUCCGUGCACUAUCAGCUAGUUGGUGAGGUAAUGGCUCACCAAGGCGAUGACGGUUAGCUGGUCUGAGAGGAUGGUCAGCCACACUGGGACUGAGAUACUGCCCAGACUCCUACGGGAGGCUGCAGUCGAGAAUCAUUCGCAAUGGGCGCAAGCCUGACGGUGCGACGUCGCGUGGAGGAUGAAGGUCUUCGGAUUGUAAACUCCUGUCAUGUGGGAUAAAUGGCCAGGGCAUGAAUAGUGCCUUGGAAUGAUAGUACCACAGGAGGAAGGGACGGCUAACUCUGUG
rnacentral:rRNA from 1 species